rnacentral:rRNA from 1 species
UCGAUGGUAACGCAUUGCUAUUCCAGCUCCAAUAGCGUAUAUUAAAGUUGUUGCAGUUAAAAAGCUCGUAGUUGGAUUUGUGGCAGUCGCAUGCGGCCCGGCAUUCGUGUCGGUGUUUGCUCGCGUCGCCAUCCUUGGGUGGAACCUGUGUGGCAUUAGGUUGUCGUGCAGGGGAUGCCCAUCAUUUACUGUGAAAAAAUUAGAGUGUUCAAAGCAGGCUUAUGCCGUUGAAUAUAUUAGCAUGGAAUAAUAAGAUAGGACCUUGGUACUAUYUUGUUGGUUUGCGCACCAAGGUAAUGAUUAAUAGGGACAGUUGGGGGUAUUCGUAUUCCAUUGUCAGAGGUGAAAUUCUUGGAUUUCUGGAAGACGAACUACUGCGAAAGCAUUUACCAAGGAUGUUUUCAUUAAUCAAGAACGAAAGUUAGGGGAUCGAAGAUGAUUAGAUACCAUCGUAGUCUCGCAGGUAAUGUCAUCGAGA